AAAAAAUAAUUUUUUAUCAAUUGAUAAUUUUGUCCAUUAAAGUAAUUACUGACACCUCAAAUUGUAAGGACAAAAUAGUUAAAACUGGAGAAAAAUAAACUAGCUCUCCAUUUCUUCGCUAUUUGGGGAGAGGAAAAAAAAGCAUGUGAGGCCACGUAAAAAAACUUUUUCUGCGCUACAGUAAUACGUGCCAAACAGAGAUAGUUAUUUCAACCAGUGUUUUAAAACUCGGCUUGGUCAUCGACUCAGUAGGUACUGAGUUAAUGAGUCACUAGUUCGAAUGCUUGACUCGGUGUAUAUUAAAAAAUUAUAAUAAACAUUAAAUGCUAUAUAAAGUUAAGAUAUAAUAAUUAAAAACAGUUUUAAAAACCAAACCAAUUGGUAGUUCAAUGGUAAAGCUGUCUAGUUUCAAGAAGUCUCGUGCUCAAGUCCCGCAGCAAUAGUUUUUUGAAAAUAAUUAAAAUAUUUUGGAUGAAUGUCUCUAAAGUAGGCCCAAUAAAGUAAAUUAAGAAAAACAGGCCCAAUAAAUGAUCCCAAUAUAGUAAAUUAAAAAAAAGACCCAAUAAAUGACCAUUGCAACGAAAAAAAAAAUGAAAAAAAUGAAAUGGGUGACUCGUCGGUUCAACCAAAACCGGCCGAGCCACAUGUUUGACCAUUGAACCGGCUGAGUCAGACCGGUUCUUAUCGAGUCGCUUGCAAGUCUGAUCCGAUGUGCGGCUCGGACCGGUAAGGUGACCGAGUCCCGGUUCGACGAUUGGACCGGCCGGUCCGAGUCGAGUUUUAAAACACUGGUUUCAACUCUUCACAAGAUCUGUCUUCACUGUCUCUCUCUUGCCAAAAUCACCUACACCAAACGAAGUGUAAAACUUCACAUGAUAUCAAAGAUGCGAUGAGAUCAUAGAUUUAGAUCUUUUGUUAAAAAUGUAAGGUUUUUUUUCCCUAACUUAUAAUAUACCUAAAUCUAAAAUGAUAUUAGUGAUGAAAUCCGAAAGAGGAAGAGGGAGAUGAAGAAAAGGAAGAAGAGGGAAAAUGAUUAAAUUUGACGAAAGG
rnacentral:lncRNA from 1 species